rfam:Triticum aestivum genome assembly, contig: Triticum_aestivum_CS42_TGACv1_scaffold_433609_5DL
AUUGUACUCCCUCCGUUCCGAAAUAAUUGUCCGAGGAAUGAAUGUAUCUAGAUGUAUUUUAGUUCAGAUGCAUCCAUUUGUAUCCAUUUCUACGACAAGUAUUUCCGGACGGAGGGAGUAUUUG